AACGAACGCUGGCGGCAUGCCUAACACAUGCAAGUCGAACGAAGCCUUCGGGCUUAGUGGCGCACGGGUGCGUAACGCGUGGGAAUCUGCCCUUGGGUUCGGAAUAACAGUUAGAAAUGACUGCUAAUACCGGAUGAUGUCUUCGGACCAAAGAUUUAUCGCCCAAGGAUGAGCCCGCGUAGGAUUAGGUAGUUGGUGGGGUAAUGGCCCACCAAGCCGACGAGCCUUAGCUGGUCUGAGAGGAUGAUAAGCCACACUGUCACUGUGACACGGCCCAGAAUCCUACGGGAGGAAGCAGUGGGGAAUAUUGGACAAUGGGCGAAAGCCUGAUCCAGCAAUGCCGCGUGAGUGAUGAAGACCUUAGGGUUGUAAAGCUCUUUUACCAGGGAAGAUAAUGACAGUACCUGAAGAAUAAGCUCCGGCUAACUCCGUGCCAGCCGCCGCGGUAA
rnacentral:rRNA from 1 species